GAUGAACGCUGGCGGCGUGCUUAACACAUGCCAGUCGAACGGAAAGGCUCCUGCUUGCAGGGGUACUCGAGUGGCGAACGGGUGAGUAACACGUGGGUGAUCUGCCCUGCACUCCGGGAUAAGCCUGGGAAACUGGGUCUAAUACCGGAUAGGACGAUGGUUUGGAUGCCAUUGUGGAAAGUUUUUCGGUGUGGGAUGAGCUCGCGGCCUAUCAGCUUGUUGGUGGGGUAAUGGCCUACCAAGGCGUCGACGGGUAGCCGGCCUGAGAGGGUGUACGGCCACAUUGGGACUGAGAUACGGCCCAGACUCCUACGGGAGGCAGCAGUGGGGAAUAUUGCACAAUGGGCGCAAGCCUGAUGCAGCGACGCCGCGUGGGGGAUGACGGCCUUCGGGUUGUAAACUCCUUUCGCUAGGGACGAAGCGCAAGUGACGGUACCUGGAGAAGAAGCACCGGCUAACUACGUG
rnacentral:rRNA from 1 species